rnacentral:rRNA from 1 species
GAUGAACGCUGGCGGCGUGCCUAAUACAUGCAAGUCGAGCGAGCGGCGGACGGGUGAGUAACACGUGAUAACCUACCUAUAAGACUGGGAUAACUACUGGAAACGGUAGCUAAUACCGCAUACCAUCGGAUGUGCCCAGAUGGGAUUAGCUAGUAGGUGGGGUAACGGCUCACCUAGGCGACGAUCCCUAGCUGGUCUGAGAGGAUGACCAGCCACACUGGAACUGAGACACGGUCCAGACUCCUACGGGAGGCAGCAGUGGGGAAUAUUGCACAAUGGGCGCAAGCCUGAUACAGCCAUGCCGCGUGUAUGAAGAAGGCCUUCGGGUUGUAAAGUACUUUCAGCGAGGAGGCGUUACUCGCAGAAGAAGCACCGGCUAACUCCGUGCCAGCAGCCGCGGUAAUAC